rnacentral:sRNA from 1 species
AAAGCAUUAAGAAUUUCUGAAUCCUCGUCGUUCGAAAGAAUUCUAGCAGCAUCAGGUUUGUCCAGCAGUUGCUUGGCCACAAGGUACCCAGCAAUAGACCAGGUUUGGUAAAGACGAGACUGUUUCCCAAUGAAGCGUGCUCGUUUGGUGUCAUAGUAUUCAGGCCAUUUGUCGAUAGCAAUUCGCCUCUCAGCUACCUCUACAGCUUUUGCAGCAAUCUCUGGUCUGUUCAUCUUGAUAGAUGCUACUGUGAGCUGCACGCAAAGAAAAUGCAAAGAUAAUUAUUCCGAAAACUCACGUAUUCUUUGGGUCACUUCCAGUAAUGAUCUUCCAUUCCUGGUUCUCUAGAGCAGGAUAGCAUAUCUUCAAUGGCAUCUCUGCCACUAAAUCAGACCAUUUGGAUUCAAUCAGAUCCAAAAUGGCAUGGGAUUGAUGAGUUGUUGCCAAGCUGCUUACUAUGGACCAUAAAUUCCCCAGAGAAAAGAACCGGAAGUCCAUGUGAGCUGGCUGCAGGUUCCCAAUGAAGUAACCUCCUUUAGGAGGUAUCCACUCAACAAGCCACGGAGAAACCUGAUCAGGAUAUAUGUUGAACUUGUUCACAGCAUCAUAGGAAUAUUCUUCUGUUUUAUAUCGAUAAAUCUCAUUCAGCUUCUGCAUGUCAACCCAAUAGUACUCUCUAAUAUGAAAGGACAGUGCGAUAAGCCUAUUGUUUAGAGCACGUAUUAAAUCAGCUGAUCCAUCUUCUGGGGUUAACAUUUCACGCGCGCACAGGAGAGCUGAAUAGAACAGUGCCUGAAUUUCAAGUGGAUGCCCAUGAAUUCCCAUUCGACGAUCAAUCAUGCAUGAUCCAUCAGUUACCAGUAAUGUAGGGAACAUGUCAAACCCAUCAGCUAAACAAAGCUUUAAUAUCAUUUUAAUUCCAGUCUGAACAUCAAUUCUCUCCUGAACUGUCAGAUCUCCUGAACACUUUCCAUACGCCCUAAGUAAUAUGAUCCACCAUAGACCUGAAUCAACAGGUGCCACACGGCCUAUUGCUGCCUCCCCAAAAUCAGGAUCCAAGACCUCCUCAGUUGCAUCUUCAUCUCCAUCGAGUGGAAUUGUUCGCACCUUGAAGCUAGCAGGCAUUAAGCCCUGUCCUGGACUAUGGCAGUCCAUUGUCUUCUCCCAGCUCUGAAGCUGAAGGGUGUGCAAAAUGAAAUUGCGCACAAUUUCGUACUCUCCCUUCAAUAGAAACGCGAUGCCAGAUGGUAUGAAAUCCCGAAUAAACACCUGAUCAUAAUUCAUCGGAUUGGCAUCAUUCGGGUCGUUGGCAGCAAUCGUCCCGACCGGACUACCACAAUAGUAAACCACGGACUCCCGCAAGAGCUCCCAAGCUUCAUCCUCCACAGAAGACGCCUUCCGCCGCUGGGGCGGAGGCUUGGCGGCGCUCCCGUUUACGCUCCC